rnacentral:rRNA from 1 species
UUGAACGCUGGCGGCAGGCCUAACACAUGCAAGUCGAACGGUAACAGGAAGAAGCUUGCUUCUUUGCCGACGAGUGGCGGACGGGUGAGUAAUGUCUGGGAAACUGCCUGAUGGAGGGGGAUAACUACUGGAAACGGUAGCUAAUACCGCAUAAUGUCGCAAGACCAAAGAGGGGGACCUUCGGGCCUCUUGCCAUCGGAUGUGCCCAGAUGGGAUUAGCUAGUAGGUGGGGUAACGGCUCACCUAGGCGACGAUCCCUAGCUGGUCUGAGAGGAUGACCAGCCACACUGGAACUGAGACACGGUCCAGACUCCUACGGGAGGCAGCAGUGGGGAAUAUUGCACAAUGGGCGCAAGCCUGAUGCAGCUAUGCCGCGUGUAUGAAGAAGGCCUUCGGGUUGUAAAGUACUUUCAGCGGGGAGGAAGGGAGUAAAGUUAAUACCUUUGCUCAUUGACGUUACCCGCAGAAGAAGCACCGGCUAACUCCGUG